ACCUCCGUAGCUCAGUUGGCAGAGCAGCUGACUCUUAAUCAGCGGGUCUGGGGUUCGAGUCCCCACGGAGGUACCA
rnacentral:tRNA from 1 species